GGCGAACGGGUGAGUAACACGUGGGCAAUCUGCCCCUCACUGUGGGAUAACUCCGGGAGACCGGGGCUAAUACCGCAUAUGGAAACCUGGUGGCAUCACCGGGUUUGGAAAGUUUUUCGGUGAGGGAUGAGCCCGCGGCCUAUCAGCUUGUUGGUGAGGUAAUGGCUCACCAAGGCGACGACGGGUAGCCGGCCUGAGAGGGCGACCGGCCACACUGGGACUGAGACACGGCCCAGACUCCUACGGGAGGCAGCAGUGGGGAAUAUUGGGCAAUGGGCGAAAGCCUGACCCAGCGACGCCGCGUGAGGGACGAAGGCCUUCGGGUUGUAAACCUCUUUCAGUAGAGAAGAAGCGAAAGUGACGGUACCUACAGAAGAAGCACCGGCUAACUACGUGCCAGCAGCCGCGGUAAUACGUAGGGUGCAAGCGUUGUCCGGAAUUAUUGGGCGUAAAGAGCUCGUAGGUGGUUUGCCACGUCGGAUGUGAAAACCUGAGGCUUAACCUCAGGCCUGCAUUCGAUACGGGCAGACUAGAGUGUGGUAGGGGAGACUGGAAUUCCUGGUGUAGCGGUGAAAUGCGCAGAUAUCAGGAGGAACACCGAUGGCGAAGGCAGGUCUCUGGGCCAUAACUGACACUGAGGAGCGAAAGCGUGGGGAGCAAACAGGAUU
rnacentral:rRNA from 1 species